AUGUGCACACGUUACUUUCUGUCCAAACCAUAUUCCCUUUGCGUCUCUCGUGUUUGCCAGAUGCCAGCUUUCCAAUUGGGACCAAAAAAAAAAAUAGUGUGGGUGGCAGCCUACUUUUGCAUAUAUGCAGCCAGGACCAAGGAAGGCAGAGACAAGGGACCUUAUUCUGAGAAAUAUGGAGCACAAAAUAAUGCACAGAGCAAUCGUAGAGUGGCACCAAGGCUUGAUGGACGUCUACGCAGAGGCACUGAGACCUGAGGAAGCAAGGCCCCCGGAAGAGAGGAGCAGGCUCAGGACUGCCACAUGUGGAGCUAGGUCGCCAGCCCACCCCUGGAGACGAAUGAGGAAAAAGCUGCUGAAGCCUCUCAGCUGGCAAAGCCUGCGAAGUGAGAAGUGGAGAUGAGCCUCCAAGAAAAAUAACCUGCACCCUCAAGGGACCUUUGGAUUUGGCAGUGAACUACAUUCCAUAAGCACCUCUUUUGCCAGCGUGUCUGAGCUAGAAAUAGCAAACCAGGACAUGACAGCUGCGAAAAAUAAGAGCAGGUUAGGAAGUAUUAGUGAUUGCAACUCACUUCUAAACUCAUCCCUUACCUGAGAGAACUAUGACUAGUUUUGGCCAGACCUGAGUAAUGUUAAUAGCUCUGUGGCUUUCUGUACUACCCCUCUGCCGCCUGUGAGGGGAUGGGGUGCCUGAUGAACUGCCGGGACACUGCUGAGCCUGGUAGCAGAGAUAUGGCACGAAACUGGCUCUGUGGGCAUUCUGAGGUUCAUGUCAUCUCCCUAAUGUCAGGAAGGUGUCAGUGCAAUUUUUUAAGUAAGCUUUAAAGCUGCUUAGCUCUGCAGAGAAGAGCAGAGUAGCCUCAAGGGCCAGAGUCUGGUUCAGGGACUGUCGCUGUGCGGUAAGUUAUGCACGCAGGAAUGACUGCAGAAUGGCCUCAAAUACUGGAAUUUAGCCUCUGCAGAGAAAACAUCUACCAGAUAACUGAGUUAAAUUUAUUUUCAUUAAGGGGUCGUUGGAUUCUUAUGUUGCACCUAAAGAGGCAUUGACAAGCAGGAAACCUAGCUUUAAAAUUCUUCAAAAGGACACCACCUCUGCUAGUGAGACAGAGCCUCGGUUUCUGCAUCAAAGUGCUCAAAUCGUGGGGUAACAUUUCAGCAGGCCAAAAUAAGCCUGAUGAGGUCCAGAGGGCAUUGUGCCUCUUGCCAGCUCCUCAUUAGUGAAGGGGCUGCAAUACAAAUAGGCAAAACCAAUCAGCUUAGUACAGUCAGAUAUUGCUGCUGGGUCUGUUGCUGAUUUGAAAAGAUCAGCUGGUCUGGGUUAGGCAGUCACAUAUGGCAACUUGUAGGGAACUUCCUUGAAGUAAGCCUUAAAGUAAGUUACAUCUUUACGGGAGAAUGUUUAAAAAUAAAACCAUAUGAAGAACCA
rnacentral:lncRNA from 1 species